AUUGAACGCUGGCGGCAGGCCUAACACAUGCAAGUCGAGCGGAGCGGCGGACGGGUGAGUACUGCCUAGGAAUCUGCCUGGUAGUGGGGGAUAACGUCCGGAAACGGGCGCUAAUACCGCAUACUAUCAGAUUAGCCUAGGUCGGAUUGGCUAGUUGGUGGGGUAAAGGCCUACCAAGGCGACGAUCCGUAACUGGGCUGAGAGGAUGAUCAGUUAAACUGGAACUGUGAAACGGUCCAAACUCCUACGGGGGGCAGCGGUGGGGGAUAUUGGACAAAGGGCUGAAGGCUGAUCCAGCCAUGCCGCGUAUGUGAAGAAGGUCUUCGGAUUGUAAAGCACUUUGAGUUGAGAGGCGUUACCAACAGAAUAAGCACCGGCAAACUUCGUGCCAGCAGCCGCGGUAAUAC
rnacentral:rRNA from 1 species